GACGAACGCUGGCGGCGUGCUUAACACAUGCAAGUCGAACGGUAACGACCUAGUUUGCUCGGUCUGAUUAGUGGCGAACGGGUGAGUAACACGUGAGUAACCUGCCCUUCACUCUGGGAUAACCUCGGGAAAUCGGGGCUAAUACCGGAUAUGAGCUCCUGUCGCAUGGCGGGGGUUGGAAAGUUUUUCGGUGAAGGAUGGGCUCGCGGCUUAUCAGUUUGUUGGUGGGGUAGUGGCUCACCAAGGCGAUGACGGGUAGCCGGCCUGAGAGGGCGACCGGCCACACUGGGACUGAGAUACGGCCCAGACUCCUACGGGAGGCAGCAGUGGGGAAUAUUGCACAAUGGGCGGAAGCCUGAUGCAGCGACGCCGCGUGAGGGAUGACGGCCUUCGGGUUGUAAACCUCUUUCGGCAGGGAAGAAGCGAAAGUGACGGUACCGGCAGAAGAAGCGCCGGCUAACUACGUG
rnacentral:rRNA from 1 species